GAUGAAGAACGCAGCGAAAUGCGAUACGUAGUGUGAAUUGCAGAAUUCAGUGAAUCAUCGAAUCUUUGAACGCACAUUGCGCCCUUUGGUAUUCCAAAGGGCAUGCCUGUUCGAGCGUCAUUUGUACCCUCAAGCUUUGCUUGGUGUUGGGCGUCUUGUCUCCAGUCCGCUGGAGACUCGCCUUAAAGUCAUUGGCAGCCGGCCUACUGGUUUCGGAGCGCAGCACAAGUCGCACUCUUUUCCAGCCAAGGUCAGCGUCCAAAAAGCCUUUUUUCAACUUUUGACCUCGGAUCAGGUAGGGAUACCCGCUGAACUUAAGCAUAUCAAUAAGCGGAGGA
rnacentral:misc_RNA from 1 species